rnacentral:tRNA from 1 species
GCACCCUUAGCUCAGUUGGUAGAGCAACUGACUCUUAAUCAGUAGGUCGAGGGUUCGAGUCCCUCAGGGUGCACGA